CACGUAGGGUGCGAGCGUUGUCCGGAAUUAUUGGGCGUAAAGAGCUCGUAGGCGGUGUGUCGCGUCGGCCGUGAAAACCUGCAGCUUAACUGUGGGCGUGCGGUCGAUACGGGCAUCACUGGAGUUCGGCAGGGGAGACUGGAAUUCCUGGUGUAGCGGUGAAAUGCGCAGAUAUCAGGAGGAACACCGGUGGCGAAGGCGGAUCUCUGGGCCUUACCUGACGCUGAGGCGCGAAAGCUAGGGGAGCGAACAGG
rnacentral:rRNA from 1 species